rnacentral:rRNA from 1 species
UUGAUCCUGGCUCAGAAUCAACGCUGGCGGCGUGCCUAACACAUGCAAGUCGAACGCGAAAGUCCCGAAAGGGAUUAGUAGAGUGGCAAACGGGUGAGUUACGCGUGGGUGACCUGCCUUCGAGCGGGGGAUAACGUUUCGAAAGGAACUCUAAUACCGCAUGAUGUCCUGCCUUUGAAGAGGUGGAGACCAAAGCCGGUGAUCGCAAGACCUGGCACUUGAAGAGGGGCCCGCGUCCGAUUAGCUAGUUGGUGGGGUAAUGGCUCACCAAGGCUCCGAUCGGUAUCCGGCCUGAGAGGUCGGACGGACACACUGGGACUGAGACACGGCCCAGACUCCUACGGGAGGCUGCAGUGGGGAAUUGUUCGCAAUGGGCGCAAGCCUGACGACGCAACGCCGUGUGGAGGAUGAAGACCUUCGGGUCGUAAACUCCUUUCGAUCGAGACGAAUGGCCUCCGGGUGAACAAUCCGGAGGAAUGACGGUACCGAGAGAAGAAGCUCCGGCUAACUCCGUGCCAGCAGCCGCGGUAAUAAGGU